GUAAAUGCAUUACAUACAGACAGACGAAAGAAAAUCCGAGUUAUCAUAGAACUCACUGCGUUCGGCCAAUUAUCGUUAUUCAAAAAUUGCAUUCAAUCUUUAUUCUCAUUAAUUAAUUCUUCAUAUCUUGUAAAAUUCGUUCAAUAAUAAGAAAUAUUGCCAUUCAAUCUAAAUUAGUGUAUAAGCCAGCAGUGUAUUAUAUUGUAACAUAACAUAGGCCUGCAUGAAUAAAGAACUCUAAUCUAAUCUAAUCUAAUCCGUAAUCCCUACGCUGUAUGUUCUCUUUUCAACUGCAAAUGUCUUUAUUGAAUUCUUCAAUGUUGUUUUCCAUCACGAACUGCUUAUUAUUAAAUCUCUUUUUGCUUUUAGAAAAAACGACUAGCAGUCAGAUAUUUUUACAAUAAAUGAAUAAAUCACUCACUGGACAACGAGAUCUUUCGGCAGUUCCGCCAUCUUCUUGGUUGUCUUCUAUUGCUAUACUUUUUAGUACCGUACGGUAUAUUGUUUGAGUCUCUCCCCCUCCUACAAGCUCCUACUUUUGUAAUAGUAUGUAGGCCUAACUUUCACCAUUGUCCACGGCCGUGCUCUCUCUCUCGAAACUCACUCCUUCCUUGUCGAAGUAUUUUCGCGCCUUUUUGAGUUUUGUUUGCCUUUUCGCUAUAUAGUUAUUGGACUUGAUCUUCUUGUCUAAUGCAGUCGCAAGGGUUAGUUUCAGUUCAUCACGUAUUGAAUACAGAGUACAUUUCCUGUUUCCAGUGUUUUAUCCAGGCAUUUAUUUGUUUUGAAGUCACGUGAUCUUCUAUCAUCAAUGAGACGUAUGUCGCGUCAUGCGCCGAUAAAGCUUCGGAAGGGCGCACAAUCACAAGUAUCAUGGGGAAGCUGGUGACCCUUCCUUACCAUCCAAAGCAAGGACGACCAUAAGAGAGAGAAAAACCUUUCAAGGACCUUCUGAUAACUGAAGUUAUGAUUGAAGCUGCUACAAACCGGUGCUGGCCGAAGGCAGAAUUGAAGCAGGUCUAGUUGAAAGCGGCUUCGUGGCUUGCACAAGCCCAAUCCAAGUUGGACAAAAUGAAUCAGCCAUCAACACCAGCUACAAUAACAAUAAUCGACACCGAUUGUGAAGAUGAACCUCUCGAAUAGAUAAUAAUAUAAUAGUAGUGACAGAAAAGAUCAUAAAACGUGUCUACAUGUUCAAUUUACUGAUAUCAUAAACAAUAAAUUAGUUAUUGAUUAUAAUUACGGUUUUUAAUUGAAUAAUCAAUCCCUGAAAC